rnacentral:lncRNA from 1 species
UAGAAGACCCGCUUUCGCCAAAGAAGUAUAGUUACUAUUGUGAUGCAUAGCCUAAUUGCCAUGGUCUAUCUUCAUGGAUGUUACACCUGGAUGUGUGCACGUCUGCAGAUGGGCUCAGCUACAUACGUGGAAGACACAAGCCAUAAUCACUUUCGCUAUUUUCUGUGGCUUAUAGGUAUUUAGUUGAGUUUUUUUUUUUAAAUGUAUGUGCUAAUGCCAAAAGUAGUAUGUUUGCAUGAGAGACCUUGUUCAAGUGGUAUUACUGUAAUCUGUUCAUCACAUAAGUAUGUCUUCCAAGAUGAUGUUUGCUAGUUAUUCGCAGUCAGCUCAAUUGCAAAGCCUACCAUUAACUACUAUUAAAAUGAUCGUUGUAAAAAAAAAUGCCAGGCCUCUUAUCCCGACUGGCUUUCAGACCUGUCAAUCACCUCUCUGUUUCAACCAAUCAGGGCGCUCGAACGCACUCCAGGGGUCCAACCCGCACUCCUCAGUUAGAGCACGUUCACCUGCCGUUUCAAGAAGAUGCACGUUAUGUUUGAGGGACGCACAACACUUCAAGAUAGAAAACAGCAUGUGGGAGUCCGUCAUUACACAACUUGCAUCUACUUGAGACUGCAGGUGAACACGCUCUAACUUGAGGUGUGCGGGUCGGAGCCCUGGAGUGUAUCAAUACUAAAAGAAUAAAUUCCACAUUCCUUAUAAUAAUCAAACCAGACAACACGAUUUUCUUGUUUAACAAAAUACAUAUUUACGGAUAGCCAGGGGCACAUUCCAAUACUCAGACGUAAUUUACAAAUGAAGCAUUUGUGUUUAGUUAGUCCGCCAGAUCAGAAGUAGUACGAAUGAAGAGAGAUGUUCUCUUGACAAGUGCAUGAAUUUAACCAUUUUCCUGUCCUACUAAGCGUUCAAAAUGUAACGAGUACUUUUGGGUGUCAGGGGAAAAUGUAUGGAGUAAAAAGUACAAUAUUUUCUUUAGGAAUGUAGUGGAGUAAAAGUAAAAGUUGUCAAAAACAGAAAUGGUAAAGUACAGAUACCUCAAACUACUUAAGUAAUACUAUUAAGUAUUUUUACUCAAGUACUUUACACCACUGCGUGUGACGAAAGCAAGCAGAGUCAAGGGUGCUGUAUGUAGUCGCCCUAUGAGGAAG